UGGCCCCACUGUGCACCACACACUCCUUUCCCAGCCCAGGGGCACGCGAACAAAAUGAGGCUCAAGCUGACCAGGCCGAGCCGGAGGAACGCUGGGGCUUGGCAGCAGAAGGGAUGGGACCAGAGAGAAGGGUGUGGAGGAGACCCCAGUGAGGGCCAGGACAUUUCAGGUAAAGAGAGGUCAUAUCUCCGUACCUCACUUCCUGACACAAACAAGUUUUCACUGUUGUCAGCAACAAAGCCCUAAUAUAGCUGCGGAAGAGAAAAACUGCAUUGCAUUUUGCCUCCUGCAAGCAUCAUCAACAGUUACUGGAGGAACGUAAUUCCAGAAAGCUUGAAAGCCGUGGUGAUGGUAAUUAUGUAUCAAAUGCCUGGUUCUAUUUCUGUUAUUAUUGUUUUGUCAUUUCUGUUUUCCCAGCGAUCUGACUGAACUCGCAGAGGGACAAAUCCAGUUUUUCUUUUUGACUUUUGUCAAACUAAAUCAGGCCUGAUAGAAAACUCAUUGCUCUCCGGGGAAACAAAGUAGGAGCCACGAAAUGUCAUUUUAACAGAGCGUGGGUUUGGUGACUGUAGGAAAGGAUUUGAGGACGCUCCUUCUGUUCGGCUUCCUAUGUCAUGAGCACAGGCUCCACGCACGCACAGACACCACGGCUCCCGGAUGCUGUGGCUCCCCGAUCGGGGCUCCUGCAGCGCCAGAAGCCCCUCCGGGAUGCUUCGAGGGGCUCCCGGUGGGUGGAGGUACGGACGCCGCUGCGGCCGCCGCCGCCAGUCCUGCUGCUGUUGUUGCUGCUGCAGUCACGUGGGAGCCCCUUUAAGUUUCCAUAGAGAGGCCUCUCUGGUGUCACAUGAUGGACAUGAUAUAAUGAAACAACAUUGUGGAGAGGAAAGCAUUAGGGGAGCCCACGGCUACAAAAACAAGUGAGUGAGAAGAGGUGGGAGGAAGAGAAACUACGCCACCUCCCCUGCAGCCGAGUGCACGCAGCAGCCUGGCGUGACAAGUGGGCGACGCCGGGGGGCAGGGAGCCGGGGUCCUUGGCCCUGGCCGGGGACCCCACCGCCCACCGCGCGGAGGACAACUUUUAGCCGGCAGCCCAGACCAGCGCGGCACCUGUCUCCGGAGUCUCCACCGCUCCUCCCGAUUCAUCCCAGGGAAAUUCUCAAGAAUACGCUCUACAAAUCUACGUGCGCAUCAUUUUCACCUCGCGUCGCGCCCGGGAGGAAGGAACGAGGCAAGGAGCUAAAGCAGCGUGCGUUCAGCCCUGGGGCAUUUUAUUAAUGCUUUUACGAGUUAGAAGAGUUGGGAUAAUUUGCCAUCUGGAGUUUCUCUGCCUUGCUGAUCUGAGCUCAGACCUGCCAAUUUACCAGAGAUAAUUGAUAACACCCUGUAACAGCUGAGAGGAAAAUGGAAGAAACGGAGAUACUUUUAGUGAAGCAGAAUAAACCACUGAACAGUCUGUUUCAUCUUCAUAAAAACGCUGCUUUCAGUGCACUGGAUUUAUUUUACAACCCACUAAUGGAUUACCCUACAGUUUGAAAAACAUUGCGUUAGACCAGUUUGACUGUUGUCAAGAACCAAAAAAGGAAAAAUGAGGAAGCUGUGAGUACCAGUGGAAGGAACGAGCCAGGAAGAGGGACUGGAACCAUCUCAGAAGCCAUGCCCCUCAGGCUGGAACUUGCCCUGUCUCCUCGCAGAUGAGCUACCUCUUGUGUUUAAGAAUUAAAGGAAGAUGAGCUAGGAAUCAAGAAAUACGCAGAACUGAUUCCUGUCACUGGCGCCACCCUGCCACUUGCCCAGAGCUGUGGUAUAAAUUUUUUUAAUAGGCUGAAAUAAAAAUAUGAAUAGCAUUUUGGUAUUAAGCAUUAAAUUGAUAAAGGCUAUGAGAUACACCUGCUCUCAACCAUGUUAAUUUUUUAUUAUUGGUAUUAAUAAAUUAUUACUUACUAACAUAUUAACAAGAAUUGCAUUGAGAAACAAAGCAUCCACAGGCCAAAUCUUCUGAAUUUCAAAUGUUUAUAUUAAUGCGUUGUAUUCUAGAAAAGUAGAAUUGUCUUAAGUAGCUUUGUAAUAUAAAGUCAUCUAUCAGCCCAUUACACCUAUUAGAAUGUUUUAACCUUUAUUUCCCACUUUUUUGUUUCUAGACUGAGUGUACUUGGUCUGGUAUUUGUGGCAUAACUUACGGAACACAUAAGAAUGAUACAGAUACUAUUUAAUGAUGACCUAAUACAAGCUUAGAUAGCUAAGGUGAAAGCUUCUAUGGCCUUAACAUUUUCCUCUUGAAGAAUGUAUUUUCUGUAAUAAAAUACAGUGGCUACUUGAAAUCUAUAAACUUAUGUGAGGUCUGGAUAAAUCUGAGCAACUUUCUUCUUUGUGCUCCAGGAACCUACGCACUAUAUAUAUAAAUAAAGCUUAAGUAAA
rnacentral:lncRNA from 1 species